CCUGGGGGUCUGAGGCAUUUACUUUGAAAAAAUUACAGUGUUCAGAGCAAGCCAGUAGCCAGAAUACCCCAGCUAGGGAUAACGGAGCAGGACUUCAGUUCUAUUGUGCUAGGUUUUGGACGGGGGCCAUAAUUAAGGGAGAUGGCCAGGGGCAAUUAUCUUGUGUCAAUGGAGGUGAAAUGCUUGGACCAGCACAACACAAACCAAAGAGAAAACAUUUGCCAAGAAUAUUUUAAUUAAUCAAGAACAAAAGUCGGAGGACAAAGAUGUUAAAAUACCACUGUAGUUCCACCUAUAAAUGGUUCUGACUGGCAAUCCAGUGGCAUUAUUCCAAUGACCUAC
rnacentral:ncRNA from 1 species